UAGAGAAGCCUCACGUUGAUCUUGUCUGAAUUUUUGUUAGUAUCAAAAAUACUAAAAAAAGGAAGAGAGGGCUUUUGUGCUCCUCUAAUCUUCACUGGAAGGGAAGUUCCAUGCAAUAACAUCACGACUUAUAAUGCCAAAUAUUUGUGCUUAUGUCAGAGUCCAGAGGCUAGAACUGCUUUCUUCAUUCAUGACAUGCUUGUUCAGUCCCUACUUCAUUUAAGGCACUGCUCUGGGUGCUGUGGAGCUUAUACGACGGAUGGGACCUGGAUUCUGCUUCCCAGGAUGUAGACAAGGAGGGGAGGAUGAGGCAUGUGCAUAUCAAAGCAGAGGUGCAGAAGAAUUCCCAUGGAAGGUCUUUCACAUGCAUCAUUGGAUUACAAUCUCAAGUCUGGGAUCCCAGUGGAAUUGAGUAUCCAUUGAGAAUUUACUGUGCUCUAGGCACGGAACAAGACGCUUCGGGUCCUUCAAAGACAACACCUAAUUAUCCCCAGAGAAGUCAUGGCUGAAAAGAUGGGAUGGUGAGAGUCCCUAGAUCCAUUCUAGACAUGAGUUUCUCUGGAAGUUUCCUGCCACUGCCAAAGGUGUUUCUUGCCCACCUGUCGAGAAAAUUCUUGACUGCCUGAUUUCUCCAAAUAGUAAGUGUUCUUGGAGCAAUCAAAUGAUUUUUUAAAACAGCAGGCGGGAUGAUAAUGUUUUAAAAUAGAGUCUAUCUGCCAUCUUGUAGCUUCCAUUCUCAUUCCAGAUGAAGUACUGGGGGUGCCAGAGUCCAGAUGAGGAUUUUGGUAUCUCCAAGGAUUAGCAGAACAUAGGGAGAGAAAGAGGCCCUGUUAUCUUUGCACAGGGGCGGCCAUUUGACUUCUCAGCGAUGGAAGUCAGCAUUUCCUUCGGUGUAAGUGGUAGCUUUUGACUGGCUGUCAGGAGAGCCCGAGUUUGUUUAAUUUGGAGUAAAGUUUUAUGAGUUAAUCUCCAGUGAGGGAAAGCGGCAGUAAACACAGAACAUAUUGGUCAUUAUUCCUAGUAUUUCUACAUUCUUUCUCAUGCAUCAAAGGAGAAAAAAAUUUCAAAAGAAUGAGGAGGCAUAGUGCUCAAACAUGUGUGUGUGUGUGUGUGCGCACGCGUGUGCCCGCGUAUAAUUUUGUUUUGACCAAACCAUCUGGUGUACAAUAUACUCCAGUAGUGUGAAGGCAAACAUUUACCAGGAGAUUCACAUGGUUUCUGCUGUGAAUAAACAUACUUGCCCAAGACUCUUAAGUUUCUAG
rnacentral:lncRNA from 12 species